rnacentral:rRNA from 1 species
GCGUGAGUGAUGAAGGCCUUCGGGUUGUAAAGCUCUUUUGGCGGGGACGAUGAUGACGGUACCCGCAGAAUAAGCCCCGGCUAACUUCGUGCCAGCAGCCGCGGUAAUACGAAGGGGGCUAGCGUUGUUCGGAAUUACUGGGCGUAAAGGGCGCGUAGGCGGCCUUGUUAGUCGAGUGUGAAAGCCCUGGGCUUAACCCGGGAAGCGCGCUUGAUACUGCAGGGCUUGAGUGUGGGAGAGGUUGGUGGAAUUCCCAGUGUAGAGGUGAAAUUCGU